CAAAAAAAGCAACAUGGGUGUCUGUUUAAUCAACAUAAGUAUAAGAUGUAGUUUCUAAUAUAUUAAUUCAUGUUUAGUGGUUAAACGUUUUUAAAUCAUGUAGUUUUAGCAUGUCAUGCAAAAAUUUUAAAACUACAAGAAUGCUUUAUGUCACCACAACCUAAUGGGUUUAGGUAGGAAUCCCAUCUGCAAUACCUCUCCAGAGCAGAAGGUGGCAGUAAUGUGCGACAGGCCCCAUUCAUCAGCCAAUGCAGCAUGCUUCUGGCAAAGAAGAGCCAUUACCGGGAGUUGGGAGCGGGAGAUUGACAACAGUUUCAAUCUAUUUCCAUCCAUCAAAAUUUAAACCAUCUCGGUGGAGAAAUUUAUUAAUCAGUAACUGCAGAAUUCAAGAGGAUUACAACAGUCAGUCUGGUGUCGAGGGUCUUCUCUGGGCUGGAUACUAACUCUUCACACUUUAUCAGAGUGUUUGGCAAGAAAGGUGGCACUCAAGGAAGAAAGAUCAGGAGCAUAAUGGUUCCCUUAUUCCAGCAUACUUUCACUGAGACUCCUCAGACCAACAUCAUUGAUGCCAGAAGAGAGUGUAUCCUCAAAGCCCUGUGCGUGUACCUCAACGAAGAGCCCGAGAAGUUGGUGAAAGAUUACAUGGUAUGGAAUUUAGUUUUUGUCCUCCAGGCCUUACUCUGACAUUUGUCAUUCACUAAAAAAAGACAAUGCCGUUAUAGUCUUUGAUUAUGUAAAGUCAAUGAAUAAUAGCUGUUUACAGUUGUCUUGUUUACAUUUAUUAAAAGGCACUAGUAUAACAUGAAUGAAAAUUGUCUUCUUUAUUUUGUUUUGUUUUUUUUCCCCCCUACAGGACGCAGAUGUUCUAACUCAACCAGGCUGAAAUGAAGGAGAUGAUCUUUGGAUUCUAUGCCAUUUGAAAAGAGGGUGCAGAGACAGAGGAUAACCCAGACGAUGUGGGUAUCAUCUUGGAGGGUGUCCAAGUUCUGGAUGAUUUGGGGAAUGUCCCAUUUGCUGUUGCGAUGCUGUUCGCUCUGGUCUACGCACUCAACCUCAGCUACCCUUCAGAGCUAAGAUACACCUUCGAAGCUCUGCAGAAGAUCAUCAUGGAGCUUGAUGGAAACCGACUCUCAAGAAAAGCUCAAGCACUGAAAAGCCUGCUUUCACGUACGUGAUCCACUGUAGAGUGACCAAAAGGUCAACUGUUGCUGUUUGAGAGAAAGGAUUUUGGCUUGAAAUGUUCCUCAGAGAAACCAAAAAUGAACAGAGUAAUUUCAAAAGAAACUGUUGCAUAUAGAUUUAGUUCUGUUUAGUACUUCAAAUGUUGCACAGUGCUGCUUUUUCAUUUUUUCCUCACAACAUUUUUCUUUGCUAUGAGUUGCCAGAGUUUCAUCUGCACAUAACUUUGUAAAAUGUUGUUUAUUUUAUUGGUAACCAGUAUGGUAUUACCAGGAUUUGGUAAUACUAUGGGUAAUUGAGUGAUUUUGAAAACAGCUACUGUACUGUACAAGAGUUCAGUAUUCCGAUAUUCAAAACUACAUUUAAUGAACAUUUUGGUUUCCUAUCUGUUGAUUUAUGCACAGUGUUUUCUUAGUAGUAUAAAUGAGAACCUGACAAGGCUGCAAAAAUUCCUCAAUUUUGAGGAUAUUUUCUGUUUAAUAUUGGUUUCUAUGGUGGCCCUGAAG